GUCGGGGGGACCUGAAGCUCCGUGUUAACAUCGGGGUCAGGGUAAACCCGGUGACUGGGGCUAAGUCGUAACAAGGUAGCCGUACCGGAAGGUGCGGCUGGAACACCUCCUUUCUGGAG
rnacentral:rRNA from 1 species